UCUUAACACAUGCGAUGCGUGCUGCAAAUCAUCAAGAUUUUAAAGUUUCGGGUGCUGCGGUACACUUAUUUAGUCAGAAAACGAUAAAUUUUUUUCCUGGCUUUUAAAUAACGUUAUAAAACACGCACGCGGAAAAUUAUUACGCUCAACACAAGUGCGUUUGCGUCGUGUUGGCUAACGGUGUCUAUUUACAAUCUUCGCAUAGCGGCGGCACUGUUUUUCUAAUGUGUGUAUAUAACCAAAAAUGAAAAAAAAAUAUUAUCUGUGUAAAAACUAUGAAAUAUUAAGGUCUUCUGUUAGAGUUAUAUAUUGCACAAGUGUGUUUGAAACGCCUACAAAGAUAGUUGUUCCAAGAAAUGACAUAAACAAGAAUUUGUCACCUAACUGGCGAUGUUAUUGUUAUGUAUUUCGUGUUCCUAUGGUGGGGAGUGGAGUGAAAGAAAGCCCUUGGAGCCUGGCUGGCUGAGGAGCUGGUACACUGACCGAGCACACCAGCCGCAUCAACACCAGGGCCAUCGAGAGUCUCUCUGGCAGCAGCCAGCCUGGCCACCUGCCACACAGUUGCAGUGUGGCAGGGCAGCAUACGAGAAGGCCGCCUACCUGACUUUCCCACCUUCGAGUAGCAGUACAAAGAAGGCAACAGGAAGUGGUUCCUCAACAGCACAUCAGGCUCAAGUGACGAGGGGAAUGGGUUCGAUCCCAACACCCUGAUGUGGCUUCCAUCAACAAGCACCGAGUCAUACCCAAGCUGCCUUGCGGGGCCUGCCCUACUGUGUCCCAGCCCUGCACCAGGAUAGUGAUUUGUGUGUCAGAUAUCACUACACAGUGAUCAGCCAUUUUUCAAAAUAUUAUUUUAAAUAAAAAUCACACACUGCAAAGAGAAAAUUAUAAUAGCAGAAAAGGUAGAAGAAAAACUUUAGGUUUUUGUUUCAUGUAUUUAUUAAUAUUCUAACACUGUAAUAAUAACACUUAAAAAAAGAACCCUUCAAUAAAUUAGUUCCAGUGCUGUCAACUUCCAGGCACACCCAUCAGUAAUCACAUUUAACCUAACAAUAGAAGGCAAUAAAGUUUAUUCCAAAUACUAGACUCAAAAAAAUAUUAAUUAUUUAAAAUAUUUAUACAGUAAUGAGCUAAUUGAUUCGUUAAAUAUUUUAAACACUACAAAGGUCUAAACCCAACUUAAUAAAAAACUUAAAUAAGUAUCUCCUUUGAUAUUCAUGUUAAGAAUUUUAUGUUUGCCUUAUUAUUAAAAUUGGAAAAUGCAACUAUUGCAUGCUUGGAUUCUUGAAUCUCCUUGAGUAUAAAUUUAUUAUUUUAUUUUAUUUAUUAUUUUAUUAUUAUAGCACUCUUAAGCAUAUGAACUAAAUUUAUCAAAUCAGAUUGUACUAAUAUUAUUGUUCAAGACACACUCAACAGCCAACCAGAAAUAUAUGCGAGAUUUAUCAUACAAAACGCUGAUAUACAAACAUCAUUUCUCACGUGAUGAACCGUGAUUCCGUGACUAGAUGUCAAAAUUAGUAACAAUCAUGGACUAUCCAUAUUACUUGACAACAAUGUGGUUCAUACUUUUUCAAAAGACUGAAUUGCUGUCUCAAGGCAGGAGGCACUGUGCUGUGUUAAUCCCUACAUAGAACAACCCAAAAUAACCUAAGGAAGUAAGAGCGAGGACUCACCAGGUGGCCGACCACCGGAGCUUGCCCCGGGGAGUUCAGGCCGGUCUCUGU